CUUUUCUUGAUUAAGUAUGAAGUAUAACCUGCUCAAUGAAAAUUUAAAUAGCCGCGGUAUUAUGACUGUGCAAAGGUAGCAAAAUCAUUAGUCUUUUAAUUGUAGGCUGGAAUGAAUGGUUGGACGAAAUGAUUUCUGUCUUGAAUUUUAUUAAUUUGAAUUUAAUAGUUGUGUUAAAAAGCUCAAAUUAUUUUUUGGGACGAGAAGACCCUAUAGAGUUUAAUAAUUUUUUGAUUUAAUUUUUAUUGAUGAAUUAUGUAAAUUAUUUAAUUUAUUUUGUUGGGGUGAUGGGAAGAUAAGUAUAACUCUUUUUGUUUUUGUUUAUAAAUUAUUAUAUUUGUGAUCCAUUUAUUAAUGAUUAAAAGACUAAAUUACCUUAGGGAUAACAGCGUAAUCUUUUUAGAGAGUUCUUAUUGACAAUAAGGGUUGCGA
rnacentral:rRNA from 1 species